AAAUAAAAAUUUUUAUAGUUUGAAUAAUUUAUUUAAAGUUUAUUUUACAUACAAAUUUUAGUGUUGAAUUUUAUUUUAUUUUAAUAAUAAAUUUAUUUAUUUAAGUAGUAAUUAAUAUUAAAAAUAUAAGUAAUUAAGAUUUAGUAAUAUUAAAAUUAAUAACAAAUUUUGUGCCAGCAGUUGCGGUUAAACAAAUAUUAAAUUAAAUUUUAUUAGUUAAUUAAUAAAUAUAAUAUUAAUAUAAUGUAAAAUUUAAAUUAUUAGGUGAAAUUUUAAUUUAAUAAAAAUUUAUUUUAUUUAUAUGAUUUAAUAAAUUUUAUAAUAAACUAGGAUUAGAUACCCUAUUAUAAAAAUUUUAAAAUUAAAUACUAAAAUAGUAGAUAAUUAUUUAUUGAAACUUAAAUAAUUUGGCGGUAUUUUAGUUCAUUUAGAGGAAUCUGUUUAAUAAUUGAUAAUCCACGAAUAAAUUUACUUAAUUUAAAAUUUUGUAUAUCGUUGUUAAAAAAAUAUUUUAUAAUAAUAAUAAUAUUUUAAAAUUUAAAUUAAAAAUUAAAUCAGAUCAAGAUGCAGAUUAUAAUUAAGAAUAUAAUGGAUUACAAUAAUUUUUAUUUAAAUGAAUAUUAAUUUGAAAAAAUUAAUUGAAAGUGGAUUUAAAUGUAAUUUUAUUUAAUUUAAUAAAAUGAUUUAAAAUUAAAAUAUGUACAUAUUGCCCGUCGCUUUCAUAUGAUUAUAAUAAAAUAAUAUAAAUUAUAUAAUUUUAUUUAUAAUAAAGUUGAAAUAAGUCGUAACAAAGUAGAGGUACUGGAAAGUGUUUCUAGAAAGA
rnacentral:ncRNA from 1 species